UAUAAUAUUAUUCCUGUUUUCUAAUGUUUUUACAAUGACUCCUUAGUUCUCUUUAGCGAUAAACAUCUGGCCGUCUGCUCUCUAGCCUUCUACCCAGAGAAAUUCAUAAAUUCGAUAUAAUGAGCCUCCUGAGGUCUUUAAACAGUUGCAGUUCUGGACCUACAGAGCAGUAAUGCAGGUGAACACAUUGAUCUAACUUGAUGUGCCACAGGGAAUGUGUAUAGUGCGCUCUUAAGCAAACGGUAGGAAGAGUUCACAGGAGCCCUUCACUCGUCCAAACACACACAUUUUGAACUAUUUGGUAAAAAUAAGUUCACCUAAUAUUUUUGCUAUUUCUAGUGAAAAAAUAUCAGUCAUUUCGCAGACAACUAAAUUUUCUUCUUUCCUCGUGCCCUGGCAAAUAUUUUUCCCUUGAACUUAUUUUUGUAACACUGUAUUUCAUCACACACACAUUUUCAGAACCGCUUGUCCCGUACAGGGUCGCGGGGAACCGAGAGCCUACCCAGCAACACAGGCCGGAGGGGGAGGGGACACACCCAGGACGGGACACCAGUCCGUCGCAAGGCACCCCAAGCGGGACUCGAACCCCAGACCCACCAGAGAACAGGACUGUGGUCCAACCCACCACGCCACCACACCACCGCACCCCCCUUAGUCCAUAAAUAAUUAAAGCAAUACAGUACCAUUUCCUGCAGCAUAUUUAGAAAAAAAUGUAAGGUAUGCGAGUCAUAAAGAUGUACUUAAAACCUCUGCUGAGCAAUUUAACUUUGUAAUAGGAGUACCCACACAUGGAGUGCAGCUUCAAAGUCUGUGUUGUAAAAAGCCAUACUCUAUAAAACUUUUAUAAAACAUACAUAAUCAAUCUUUUACAGUCAUGUGUUUGGUGUCUAGGUUUUAAAUGCAGGGGGUGCGGCGGUGUGGCAGGUUUGGGGUUCGAGCCCUGCUUGGGGAGCCUUGCUGCAGACUGGCAUCCUAUCCAGGAUGUGUUGCCAGGUCCGCCAGGAGCCUACAGUGGUGGUGUUGACCCAAAGAGCUGUCACAUCUAAUCCGUGUGUGUGUGCGUGUGCGUGCAAGCCACCAGGCACAUACAAAACUCUCCCGCAUAUCCAAUCCACACUCAUCCAGAAGCAUCUUUGGGAUUUACACCGCAGGCUUUGUGUCAGAAGCCAUUCAGCACAGUGCUGAUGAUUCAACGUGAAAAACUCUAAAAGACCCUGGAUGACAUCCUAGAAAUGCCUUAAAAACAUAUAUAACAGUUUCAGCCUGUAGAAGUUUUUUCUGUGACAGCAGUUGCUGGAGAAAUACUGCUAAAAUGUUCGGGAAGGGGCCAUGGAAGGAGACACCCCUGGGGGUAGAUUUGCUCCAGCUAACCUCAUGUCAUCUUCCUGCAGGUGCUGUAGCUAUCUUUUAGAAACUGUACAGAAAUAGUGGGUGCUUGAUAAAAUUUACAAAAAAAUUGGAGCAGCUGCACUAAAAGUAGCUUUACUAUAACCCUGCUCCGCACAAGUCAUUGCCGAACUAGAAACUUCAAAAUAAACAUUUUGCUUAUAAGUGAAGGUUGCA
ensembl:lncRNA